CCUACGGGUGGCAGCAGUGGGGAAUAUUGCGCAAUGGGCGCAAGCCUGACCCAGCAACGCCGCGUGAAGGAAGAAGGCUUUCGGGUUGUAAACUUCUGUUAACAGGGAAGAGCAGAAGACGGUCCCUCUUGAAUAAGCCACGGCGAACGACGUGCCAGCAGCCGCGGUAAUACGGAGGGGGCAAGCGUUGUCCGGAGUUACUGGGUGUAAAGAGCUUGCAGCCGGGAAGGCAAGGCAGAUGUGAACUCCCCGGGCUCAACCGCGGAACUGCCUUUGAAACUGUUUUUCUGGAGUAGCGGAGAGGACAUGGGAAGUCCAUGUGGAGGGGUGAAAUGCGUAGAUAUCAGGAGGAACAUCAGUGGCGAAGGCGAAUGACUGGAAGGCAACUGACGGUGAGGAGCGAAAGCGUGGGGAGCAAACAGGAUUAGAUACCCUAGGAGUC
rnacentral:rRNA from 1 species